rnacentral:rRNA from 1 species
CCCUUAGAUGUCCGGGGCUGCACGCGCGCUACACUGAAGGAAUCAGCGUGCUAAAACCAUUGUCGAAAGGCAUUGGUAAACCCAUUAAAAUCCUACGUGAUUGGGAUCGGGAAUUGCAAUUAGUUCCCUUGAACGAGGAAUUCCCAGUAAGUGUGGGUCAUAAGCUCGCGUUGAUUACGUCCCUGCCCUUUGUACACACCGCCCGUCGCUGCCCGGGACUGAGCCGUUUCGAGAAAAGCGGGGACUGCUGCUGUCGGGGCUUUCGGGCCUUGGCUUCGGUGGAAACCGCUUUAAUCGCAGUGGCUUGAACCGGGCAAAAGUCGUAACA